rnacentral:rRNA from 1 species
GUCUAUGGCCAUGCCAUCCUGAACGUGCCCGAUCCCGUCUGAUCUUGGAAGCUAUGCAGGGUCAGGCCAGGUUAGUACUUGGAUGGGAGACCACAGGAGACCACCUAGGAAUACCAGGUGCUGUAGGCA